CUCCGGAGCCCUAGAGGAAAUCAAGCCAGAGAAGAGCAAUCUCCGAUUCGAUCCCUCCCGGAGCUCACCGUCCAUGGCGAUCACCUCCAACUUCGAGGAGGAAGAGGAGAAGCAACCUGAGGCCAAGCCCUCGGCCUCCUCCUCUGCCGCGGCGGAGUUCAGCGCGAGGUUCGAUCCGUCCAGCCCGCUGGGGUUCAUCGAGGAGGCCUUCGAGUUCGUGGCCGAGCGGAGCGAUUUCCUCGCGCAUGAGGCGGCGGAGAGGGACGUCGCGGCGGUGUUGAGGGCGGUGAGGAAAAAUCAAUCCGUCGCAAAUUCGCCCUGCUCCGCCGCCGGAUCGUAGGGCCGCUGCGACAUUGCUGGGGGCCGCCGCAUCCAGAGAUGGACUUCUCAAGAGCAAAGAUUGCAUGAGGGGGGAUGUUCGACUGCUUAUUCUCUAGCUUGAUCAUACUAUGAUAAAUCCGGAAAUCAUUGGAUGUUUACUUUGGGCGCGGAUGAGCGAGCUUUUGUUCAAUUGUUUUGCCCUGUCGAGGGCAAGGAGGAGCUCCCCGAGAAAUUACAUGUUCGACUGCUUCUUCUCUAGCUUGAUCAUACAUUUUGGAAAAUGUAGAUGAAUGUACUUUAUUUUCAUAUUAUUAUAAUAUUUUGAUGUUAUUAAGUGCUUAA